GACGAACGCUGGCGGCGGGCUUAACACAUGCAAGUCGAACGGAAAGGCCCUGCUUUGGUGGGGUGCUCGAGUGGCGAACGGGUGAGUAACACGUGAGUAACCUGCCCUUGACUUUGGGAUAACUUCAGGAAACUGGGGCUAAUACCGGAUAGGAGCUCCUGCUGCAUGGUGGGGGUUGGAAAGUUUCGGCGGUUGGGGAUGGACUCGCGGCUUAUCAGCUUGUUGGUGGGGUAGUGGCUUACCAAGGCUUUGACGGGUAGCCGGCCUGAGAGGGUGACCGGCCACAUUGGGACUGAGAUACGGCCCAGACUCCUACGGGAGGCAGCAGUGGGGAAUAUUGCACAAUGGGCGGAAGCCUGAUGCAGCAACGCCGCGUGCGGGAUGACGGCCUUCGGGUUGUAAACCGCUUUCGCCUGUGACGAAGCGUGAGUGACGGUAAUGGGUAAAGAAGCACCGGCUAACUACGUG
rnacentral:rRNA from 1 species